CCUACGGGGGGCUGCAGUCGAGAAUCAUUCACAAUGGGGGAAACCCUGAUGGUGCGACGCCGCGUGGGGGAAUGAAGGUCUUCGGAUUGUAAACCCCUGUCAUGUGGGAGCAAAUUAAAAAGAUAGUACCACAAGAGGAAGAGACGGCUAACUCUGUGCCAGCAGCCGCGGUAAUACAGAGGUCUCAAGCGUUGUUCGGAAUCACUGGGCGUAAAGCGUGCGUAGGCGGUUUCGUAAGUCGUGUGUGAAUGGCGCGGGCUCAACCCGCGGACGGCACAUGAUACUGCGAGACUAGAGUAAUGGAGGGGGAACCGGAAUUCUCGGUGUAGCAGUGAAAUGCGUAGAUAUCGAGAGGAACACUAGUGGCGAAGGCGGGUUACUGGACAUUAACUGACGCUGAGGCACGAAGGCCAGGGGAGCGAAAGGGAUUAGAUACCCUUGUAGUC
rnacentral:rRNA from 1 species